GAAAUGCGAUACUUGGUGUGAAUUGCAGAAUCCCGUGAACCAUCGAGUCUUUGAACGCAAGUUGCGCCCGAAGCCAUUAGGCCGAGGGCACGCCUGCCUGGGUGUCACACAUCGUUUCCCCAACGCAACCUUGAAGCUUAUAAUCUUUUUCUGUUUAAUCUUAAUAACUUAAAACGACUUUUACUGGGGCUUACUGUGUUUUAUUAUAUAGUAAACUUUUAUCUCUAAAGUUAAAAAGCAGGAAUUUGUAUAUCAAGUAUUUAGUCGUCGUUAUUCAGAUGUAUAUUAAUUUAUAUGCCUAAAUAAUAACCUUAAUACUCUAUACUCUUUUACUAUGAUCUCAAAUCAGGUAAGAUUACCCACUGAACUUAA
rnacentral:misc_RNA from 1 species